rnacentral:rRNA from 1 species
CCAAUAGCGUAUAUUAAAGUUGUUGCAGUUAAAAAGCUCGUAGUUGAAUUUCGGGAUUCUACCGUUGGUCGGGCUAACAAGUCUGUACUGGUGUGUAGAAUUUCUACCUUCUGGGGAACUAUCAUGUUAUUAAUUUAGCGUGGUGGGAAACCAGGACCUUUACCUUGAAAAAAUUAGAGUGUUCAAAGCAGGCUUACGUCUGAAUACAUUAGCAUGGAAUAAUAGAAUAGGACGGUGGUCCUGUUUUGUUGGUUUCUGAAUCACCGUAAUGAUUAAUAGGGAUAGUUGGGGGCAUUAGUAUUCAAUUGUCAGAGGUGAAAUUCUUGGAUUUAUUGAAGACUAACUUCUGCGAAAGCAUUUGCCAAGGAUGUUUUCAUUAAUCAAGAACGAAAGUUAGGGGAUCGAAGACGAUCAGAUAACGUCGUAGUCUUAACCAUAAACUAUGCCGACUAGGGAUCGGACGAUGUUAAAUUUUAUUGACUCGUUCGGCGCCUUACG